CGCGCCCGAAGCUCUCUCUUCUUUCUCUUAUUUCUUCUCAUUGUUACCUCUGUCUCUGUGAAGCUGUCGAGACUCAGGGUUUCACUCAAUUAUUCCUCACAAUGAGUGAUAUGAGGGUCGUUAAGUUUGCUUGUUUAGUUAGGGUUUGAAUCCGUUGCAGACCUCUGUUAUCCUAAGGAUGAAAAUCUGAGGGUGUUAGGGUUUGAAUCCGUUGCAGACCUUUGUUCUCCUCAGCUAUCGACCUAGUUUAAGUUAGGGUUUGAAUCUAUUCAAACCUUUGCUACCUCUCUCUUUCUCUCUGAAUCGACUAUCAGGUGGACAAAUCUUACUGUAGUUGAACAAUGUUAGAGAUUUAGGGAUUUCAAACCUCUCUCUCUCUCUCUCUCUCUCUCUCUCUCUCUCUCUCUCUCUCUCUGAAAUCGACCCUCAUUUGACGAACUGCAGACAUGGAUGCACAAUCACGGAUGUGUAGCUAUGGUGAAGGGAUGAUGGUCAUCCGGACUUCUAGUACGGCCAAGAAUCUUGGGCGACGAUUUACAGAUGUCUAUUAGGUGAAAAACAUCUUGACUUUUUAAUUUGGUUGGAUCCAACAUCAGGGAAUUACUCAAAUACUACAGACACUGGGGAAUGUCGUUCAAAUGAAAGUGUUAAUGGGAACACCCGGGUCAUCUCAAUUAUUCCUCAACCACUCUAUAGUCCACAAGUGCGGAACCAAAUACUAGUGGACCAGUCCUUGCUCAACCAUUAUUAUGGUUUAGCCAUCAUCCUAUGUGUUUGGGUCUUAGUUCUUUCGUGCUAUGUUUUUUAUGUAACGUCUUUAUAAUCAUUACUGCUGGUUCUAAAA